rnacentral:rRNA from 1 species
UACGUAGGGGGCAAGCGUUGUCCGGAUUUACUGGGCGUAAAGAGCGCGUAGGCGGAAGCUUAAGUGUGGCCUGAAAGCCCCCGGCUCAACCGGGGAAGGUGGCUGCAAACUGGGCUUCUUGAGGGCGAUAGAGGAGAGCGGAAUUCCUGGUGUAGCGGUGAAAUGCGUAGAUAUCAGGAGGAACACCGGUGGCGAAGGCGGCUCUCUGGGUCGGACCUGACGCUGAGGCGCGAAAGCGUGGGGAGCAAACAGG